GUGGGGAAUAUUGGACAAUGGGGGGAACCCUGAUCCAGCCAUGCCGCGUGUGUGAAGAAGGCCUUUUGGUUGUAAAGCACUUUAAGCGAGGAGGAGGCUACCGAGAUUAAUACUCUUGGAUAGUGGACGUUACUCGCAGAAUAAGCACCGGCUAACUCUGUGCCAGCAGCCGCGGUAAUACAGAGGGUGCAAGCGUUAAUCGGAUUUACUGGGCGUAGAGCGCGCGUAGGUGGCCAAUUAAGUCAAAUGUGAAAUCCCCGAGCUUAACUUGGGAAUUGCAUUCGAUACUGGUUGGCUAGAGUAUGGGAGAGGAUGGUAGAAUUCCAGGUGUAGCGGUGAAAUGCGUAGAGAUCUGGAGGAAUACCGAUGGCGAAGGCAGCCAUCUGGCCUAAUACUGACACUGAGGUGCGAAAGCAUGGGGAGCAAACAGGAUUAGAAACCCCAGUAGUCC
rnacentral:rRNA from 1 species